CAAGGGUUAACCCACGAUUUUUUCUUAUAAUGUCCUGAACCAAAUAAGGAAAUGGAAAUUGUUAUCUUAUAGUUCGUUUCUGUGUGUGUGUUGCAUUGUCGUUUGGUGUUUUUUUUUUUGCAAAAUAGUGUUUCUAAUGUUUCGUUGUUUUCCUGUUAUAUUUGAUGUGCUUCCCUCAUUUUUAGUUUGUAACCCGGAUUUAUUUUCUCUAAAUCGGUUUAUGACUUUUGGACAGCGGUAUACUAAUGUUGCCUUUAUCUAUAAGAAAUACAUUGUGUUACAUUUUUUCUCACAAAACAAACAGUGUGUUGUCUCACUGGAAAUCAUACCACAUCUUCCUUUUUUGUACGAAAUCAAACUCCAUCUGUCCCUCACUCAGAUUUUAGCUGUAAUAAGCUUAACAUGACAGAUUAUUUUACAAGCC
rnacentral:lncRNA from 1 species